CGGCUUACCAUGCAAGUCGAGGGGUAUAGUUCUUCGGAGCUAGAGACCGGCGCACGGGUGCGUAACGCGUAUGCAAUCUACCUUUUACAGAGGGAUAGCCCAGAGAAAUUUGGAUUAAUACCUCAUAGUAUGUGAGAAUCGCAUGGUUUUCACAUUAAAGUCACAACGGUAAAAGAUGAGCAUGCGUCCCAUUAGCUAGAUGGUAAGGUAACGGCUUACCAUGGCAACGAUGGGUAGGGGUCCUGAGAGGGAGAUCCCCCACACUGGUACUGAGACACGGACCAGACUCCUACGGGAGGCAGCAGUGAGGAAUAUUGGACAAUGGGCGCAAGCCUGAUCCAGCCAUGCCGCGUGCAGGAUGACGGUCCUAUGGAUUGUAAACUGCUCUUGUACAGGAAGAAACACUCCCUCGUGAGGGAGCUUGACGGUACUGUAAGAAUAAGGAUCGGCUAACUCCGUGCCAGCAGCCGCGGUAAUACGGAGGAUCCAAGCGUUAUCCGGAAUCAUUGGGUUUAAAGGGUCCGUAGGCGGUUUAAUAAGUCAGUGGUGAAAGCCCAUCGCUCAACGGUGGAACGGCCAUUGAUACUGUUAAACUUGAAUUAUUAGGAAGUAACUAGAAUAUGUAGUGUAGCGGUGAAAUGCUUAGAGAUUACAUGGAAUACCAAUUGCGAAGGCAGGUUACUACUAAUGGAUUGACGCUGAUGGACGAAAGCGUGGGUAGCGAACAGGAUUAGAUACCCUGGUAGUCCACGCCGUAAACGAUGGAUACUAGCUGUUGGGAGCAAUCUCAGUGGCUAAGCGAAAGUGAUAAGUAUCCCACCUGGGGAGUACGUUCGCAAGAAUGAAACUCAAAGGAAUUGACGGGGGCCCGCACAAGCGGUGGAGCAUGUGGGUUAAUUCGAUGAUACGCGAGGAACCU
rnacentral:rRNA from 1 species